CCGCUGAAGAGCUGGCUCUGUUUUUUGAUUGUUGGCAUUGCAUCCAGCAUGUUGCCUUGAGAACAAAGGCUGCUUUUAAAUUGCAAAGAAUUGCAGAUGCCACAAAGGAAACUAAUCUCCACUAACUGAAUGGUCGUCAAGGAUGUGAACUCUGCUCUUUUUUUCUAGCUGUGUGAAAAGUUUAACAGCCUGGGCUUGCACCUCCUUUGGUUUUCAUGAUGGCAGCAACUAGUGGAGAAAGCCAGCUACAGAGGAUUAUCAGAGAUUUGCAAGAUGCUGUGACAGAGCUAAGCAAAGAAUUUAAAGAAGGAGGGGAACCAAUCACCGAUGACAGCAUCAACUUGCAAAAGUUUUCCUACAAGCUUGAGUACCUUUUACAGUUUGACCAGAAAGAAAAGACCACCCUGCUGGGGAACAGAAAAGACUACUGGGAUUACUUCUGUGACUGCCUGGCUAAAGUCAAAGGAGCUAAUGAUGGGAUCCGCUUUGUUAAGUCUAUUUCAGAGCUCAGAACAUCUCUUGGUAAAGGAAGAGCAUUUAUACGUUACUCCUUAGUACACCAAAGACUGGCAGACACUCUGCAACAAUGUUUUAUGAAUACCAAAGUAACAAGUGACUGGUACUAUGCAAGAAGUCCAUUUCUGAAGUCUAAAAUGAGUUCUAACAUUGUGGGUCAACUCUAUGAGUUAACUGAGGUUCAGUUUGACUUGGCAUCAAGAGGGCAUGACUUAGAUGCUGCUUGGCCAACAUUUGCCAGGAGGACAUUGUCCUCACAUGGCUCUUCAGCAUAUUUGUGGAAGCCUCCAAGUCGCAGUUCAAGCAUAAGUAGUUUAGUGAGCAACUAUUUGCAGACACAAGAGUUUCCAGGUAGCCCUGAUGCAAAUAACUCACUAAAUGCUGAACACUUGGAGGGCUUUGAAGAGAUGCGUGUGGAACUUGACCAGGGAGAGCUGAGGCAGAGAGAGCUGCAGGACCGGAUUAAUCAGCUACAGAAGGAAAACCAGGAGCUGCAGGCAGCUGUCAGCCUUCAGAAAGAACAAGUGCAAGUGGAAAAGGAAAAGAGCAGCAACUUCAGCGAGGAGAACUCCAGACUGACAAAGACGAUAGCGGAGUUACAGAAACAGUGUGAGGUUUCCCACUCCACUCAGAGCACUGUUCAUGACCUACAAAAAUGUGUGCAGGCAUUAGAAGUGAAUGCAGCCAAGCAGCAAAAGGACUACCACACAAGGCUUGAGCAAAUGGAGUCGAGUAAGAAGGACUAUGCCUCAGAACUGCAGCUCUUGAAUCGGGAGCUGGAAACCACCAGGGCUUCGGUCAGCAUGAAGGAUCUCUACAUCAGUGAGCUCCAGACCAAGCUAAGUUCAACAGAGCAGAAGAAUCUAGAGCUCAUUGCAAAAGUCGAUGCCGUCUUGGAUGACAAAGGACAACAAACCUCUACCCGGUAUGAGACUACCCUAAAGAUCCAGGAAUUGCUGGAGAAAGUUCACCAGGCAGAAAAGGAAAAGGCUGACAUCCAGAAACUAAAUAACGAACUUCUGUCUCAGGUAAAGACAGUGAGAGAGGAACUGCAGCUGAAAGAGGGGGCACAGAAAGAACAGGAAUCCAGAUUUAGUUGCCUCACCACAGACUCCAAAAAAGAGAGUGAAAAACUGCUCAUGAGCCUGGAAAUGAUGGCAAAAGAAAUGGAUACAGUGCAGGAGGCGCUGACUGUGAAAGGAAAGGAGGUGGCUGAACUCCAGAUCCAGCUGAAGGGCUCACUGGCUCGUGUGGGGUCGCUGGAAAAAAAUCUUGAAGAGACCAGACGAGCAAAAGAGAACCUUCAGGAAGAGUGCAGCUGCAGGGAAGGUGCGCUGAAGCAGGAAGCCAGAACCUUGGCAGAGCAACUUGAGCUGCGGGAGGAUCAUUUAUCAAAGCUGAGUCAGAAGGUGCACAGCCUAGAGGAGCAAAACCAAAAACUCCUCUCAAGCAAUGAUCAUCUCCUCCAGAAGGUAAAGGACAUGGAGGAGCUCACAGGACAACAAAGCUUGGCACUGAACGAAAUUGGUGAAGAAAGCAAGAAACUGAAAUCUGAGAAUGCAAAUCUGCACCAAACCAAGGAGAAGAUGAAAGAGAAGCAGAAAAACCUGGAGGCAUCUAAAGCCUCUUUGGAAGCUGAGUUGGCCAGGCUGAGGGCAUCAGAGAAACAGCUCCAGAGUCAGAUUGACGAUGCCAUGGUGUCAGUGGAUGAAAAAGAGAAAAAGCUCCGGGAGCAGAACAAACAGUUGCAUGAAGACUUGCAGAAUGUCACAAGGCAAAAUCAGAUCCUGGAAGAGAGGCUACAGUCUCUGCAUUCUGAAUACCAAGAACUGAGGCAAAGAGAAGAUACCAUCAAGGAGUCUUUAGCUGAAUUGAAAACAGAGCACAAGAGUGCCAAACAGCAUGGUUUACAGGUGGAAAAGAUUCUGUUUUCCUUGAAGGAGUGUGAAGAGUCUCUUAGGUCACAGGUUACCGAGAAAGAUGUGAUACUGCAAGGCAUAGAGAGCCAAUGCAAGCAGUUACAGGCAGAGAUUGAGAUGUACCGAAAAAAAGCGGAGUCUCUUGAGGUGGAAAAGCUAAGUAUGGAAAAAACAUGCCUUCAUCAAAUAAAAUUAAUUGAAUCCCUUACUGGAGAGAAGGAUUCAGUGGAGAAGGCCCAACUGGAGCAGGCAGCAUGUCAGGAGAAAAAGACACAAGAGUUGGCUUCCAGGCUAGCCGUGUCUGAAAAGCAGCUGCACAUCAACCAGAGUGAAGUGUCCAGGUUGCAGGCAGAAGUGAUUGACCUUCGAGCCAAGCUUCAGGACACAGCUGAUGAGAGAGAGAGGAUGCAAGGCAAGCUGGAUGUCACGGAGGCGGUUCUGGAGGAACAAAAGACACUGGUCCAGCAGCUGAAAGAGCAGAGUGAGUCACUCAACAGAAACCAUGUGCAAGAACUGGUACAGUGUAAAGAAAGAGAGGAAACUCUGAAAAAAGAGCGGGAAAGGGAAGCCCAUCAAAAGGCUGAGCUGGAGAAGAAUGUGCUGAGUUUCAGGGAAGAGCUGUCCAAGGUUAAGCAGUAUUUGGAGACUGUUAAAAUGGAAAAUGUAGAAACCAAUGACUUGCUCCACAGAACCAACACUGACAUGGCUGAACUUGGUAUUCAGAUCUGUACUUUGACCUCUGAGAAGGGGGAUGCAGAAGAGAAGCUGGCCCAGGUCACUGAGAAGCUCAGGGAAUUGGGUGAGCAAGCAGCAAAGGAGCAGGAGAGGCUGCAACUUGACAUCUCCAUGCUCAGGCAGGAGAACCAAGGCCUGACAGAGAAACUAAAGGAGUAUCAAGUAUGCGUUGCAGCUGUUUCCAGCCUGCAAACACAGCUGGAGGUGGCAGAGAAACAGGCCCAAAGCUUCCACGAGACCAGCAAAGAAGAGCUGUCUGCAAUAAAAUUUCAAAUGAGCACAGAGAUUAUAAAUUAUCAGACAAAAUUCAAGGCUGUCAGUGAAGAAUGCGAGAAAGUAAAAGAGCAGCUUGAGGAGCAGAAACGACAGCUGUGUGCUGCGGAGGAAGAGAUUGCAGAGCUUCACGCUGUAAACACAGAUCUGUCUAGCAAACUGGAGCAUGCAACAGAGCAAUUGACUGAAUAUGAAUCCACCAGGUUAAAAAAAGACGAGGAGGUGAUGUCGCUGAAAAAACACUUGGAGAGGACCCAAAAGGAAGUUGACAAAGCGAAUGAGCAAGUCAAAGAGUAUGGUGACAAACUCAACAAGGUGACAGCAGACAGAGACAGCAAUGAUCAGAAGUUGUUGGCCGAGCUAGACGAUCUAACUAGAACAAAGCAAUUCCUUGAAGAACGUUUGAUUGAACUUCUCAGGGAUAAGGAUGCCCUUUGGCAGAAAUCAGAUGCUCUGGAAUUUCAGCAGAAGCUCUGUGCAGAGCAAAGAUGGCUCGGUGACACGGAAGUAAAUCAUUGCCUGAGCUGUCAGCGAGAGUUUACUUGGAUGAUGCGCCGACACCACUGCAGACUGUGCGGUCGCAUUUUCUGCUAUUACUGCUGUAACAACUACAUGAUGACCAAACACAGUGGCAAGAAGGAGCGAUGCUGUAGAGCUUGCUUCAAUAGACCUAGGGUGAUCGUGGAUUACACGGAUGACUCUGGAUCCCGUGCGAGCCAAGAAGAACCACCAGCUCUGCUAAAUUCAGCAGUGUCUCCGACCCAGGAAGAUACAGUUACAAAUGAAACCUCCAAACCACCAGAUGAUGCAGUGUUUGAUAUAAUCACAGAUGAGGAACUGUGCCAAGUGCAGGAAUCUGACUCUAUCCAUAACGAAAGUCAAGCUGAAGUAGAGUCUCUGGACCAGAGUGACACAGAUCUGAACAGCACAUGUAAUUCUUCAACCUUGGAUGACUCCGAAGAUUUGCAAGUGCCCCAAGAUUCUGAGAUAUGUUUGCUGAAGUCAGGAGAACUGAUGAUAAAAUUACCCCUUACAGUUGAAGAGAUUUUAAAUUUUGGGGAAGACAACAGGGAGCUGUUCAUUAAGUCCAGCACCUACAGCACCAUCCCUAUCACCGUGACAGUGACCGGCUUUACAAUCAGCUGGGUGUUUUCAUCAGACCCAAAGAGCAUAGCAUUCAGCGUUGUCUACCAAGAAUCAGAAGAAGCAACGCUGGAUCAGUGCAAAGUACUUAUUCCUAUGACCCGCUGCAACUCUCAUAAGGAAACUAUCAGAGGGCAGGUCCAGCCAUCUGAAGCUGCUUUUGCCCAGAAAGGGAGAGUGAAAACGAGGAGCAGAUCAGCAAUGGCCAGGUGCAGCAGAAACAGCACGUGUAAUCCGUUGACCUUUGAUGACAAGAAUUGCAAGUGUCCUAAGACGCUGAAGUCAGGAGAACUGAUGUCCAACCAUAUGAAGCUACUUUUGCCCAGAAAGGGAGAGUGAAAACGAGGAGCAGAUCAGCAAUGGCCAGGUGCAGCAGAAACAGCACGUGUAAUCCGUUGACCUUUGAUGUCUCAGAAGAAUUGCAAGUGGCCCAAGAUGCUGAGAUAUGUUUGCUGAAGUCAGGAGAACUGAUGUACUACAUGUAAAUUGCCAUUGGAAGAUGUGAAAGAAAGAUUCAAGCUCCUUUUGUUUGCAGGAACAGAGAGGUCAGACCAUCCCAACAGAGCUCCGUACUGCUGAAAAUAUGACUAAAUUUAAAAGAUUCUAAUCAAGAUAGAACUGAGAUUAAAAAGCAAAAGGCGAUACCCCUGGCUCCUGUACCAUUGAACCUCAAGGCUGAGGAGGGUACCAGGAGCCUUUUCCCCUCCAUCUCUCUUGUGUCCUGACCCACCACAAUCUCUGACAUUGUGACAAAGAGGGAAUCCCAGGAGUCAGUGAGCACAGAACAGGAACAACAAGUCCUCUCAGACCUACAUUGUGUUUAUUCCUGUAGCAUUUGGAACCCAUUAUUGCAACCAAAUAUGACUUUGUUCAUCACACUGAACACUCAUUCCACUGGAUUGUUUGCUCCAGGGCACCAGGAAGUAAAGCAGAAAAGAGGAACCAAGCGGCCCUAAGGUGCCCAGCUGUAAUACGCAGAGUCUAGCAAGUCUAGCAAGAGCUUUUGCAGAAGUAACCGCAAGCAGGGGUCCAAAGGCAGGCAGACUACCAACGAAAACUGCCCAGAAACAAUGAAAGGAAAAACCAUAUAUGGGAGAAAACUGAAGUAGCUUGCUAAUGUUACAAUUGAUACUCCCAAAUAAGGGAAUUUUAAGUAAAUGCUAAUUUGCGGUUUUAACCUUUAUAAGCUUGGUAAAAAUCUGUUGAAGACAAGGCAGCUAACCCCUUGCAUGG